GUCUGCUUUGGCAGCACAUGUACUAAAAUUGGAACAAUACAGAGAACAUUAGCAUGGCCUUUGUUCAAGAAUAACACACACAUUUGUGAAGUGUCCCAUGUUUUU